AUCGAACGCUGGCGGCAGGCCUAACACAUGCAAGUCGAGCGAGCGGCGGACGGGUGAGUAAUGUCUGGGAACCUGUCUGACGGACGGGGCUAACUACUGGAAACGGUAGCUAAUACCGCAUACAAUCAGAUGUGCCCAGAUGGGAUUGGCUAGUAGGUGGGGUAAGGGCUCACAUAGGCGACGAUCCUUAGCUGGUCUGAGAGGAUGACAAGCCACACUGGCACUGCGACAUGGUCCAGAAUCGUACGGGAGGCAGCAGUGGGGAAUAUUGCGCAAGGGGCGAAAGCCUGAUCCAGCCAUGCCGCGUGUGUGAAGAAGGCCGUCGGGUUGUAAAGCACUGUCAGCAAGGAGGCGUUACUCGCAGAGGAAGCACCGGCUAACUCCGUGCCAGCAGCCGCGGUAAUAC
rnacentral:rRNA from 1 species